rnacentral:rRNA from 1 species
AGUGAACGCUGGCGGUAGGCCUAACACAUGCCAGUCGAACGGCAGCACAGUAAGAGCUUGCUCUUACGGGUGGCGAGUGGCGGACGGGUGAGGAAUACAUCGGAAUCUACUUUUUCGUGGGGGAUAACGUAGGGAAACUUACGCUAAUACCGCAUACGACCUACGGGUGAAAGCAGGGGAUCUUCGGACCUUGCGCGAUUGAAUGGGCCGAUGUCGGAUUAGCUAGUUGGCGGGGUAAAGGCCCACCAAGGCGACGAUCCGUAGCUGGUCUGAGAGGAUGAUCAGCCACACUGGAACUGAGACACGGUCCAGACUCCUACGGGAGGCAGCAGUGGGGAAUAUUGGACAAUGGGCGCAAGCCUGAUCCAGCCAUACCGCGUGGGUGAAGAAGGCCUUCGGGUUGUAAAGCCCUUUUGUUGGGAAAGAAAAGUAGCAGGUUAAUACCCCGCUGUUCUGACGGUACCCAAAGAAUAAGCACCGGCUAACUUCGUG